AAGGUUGUUCCAACAAGUCCGAUACAGUCAUGAUAUAACAAUAUAACGAUAUUGUUACAACCUGGUGUCGUCAACCUUGUGACAUUCUUGUUAUAUCAUGACUGUAUCAGACUUGUUAGAACAACCUU